CUAAAACUAAAAUAGAAGUUCUGGAUCUUACUAGCUCCAGUACUAGUGUAUUUUGAAAUAUUGGGUGAGGAAUUCCAGAUUUCCAACCUUUCUCUUUUAAAUAGGGAAAAGACUUUCUACUAUAUAUGGUAAAUUAAAUUGCCUGAGAACUAGAGGUACAAGAUACUGUAUAAGUUUGAAGUGAUAAGUGCUUAAAGUAUAUUUUGGAGGGAAGUGGUUUAGGUUGAAAGAUGUAAAGUGGGCAAAAAGAACAUUAAAGUACUCUCUUUCUGGGAGUGAUAAGCCUCUAAGAACUAUGUUCUUAAAAGCAGAUAUUGCUAUUCAUAGUUCUUUUAGAGAAAAUAAAAUCAUGGGUGUUUGUAUGUGAGCCAGUGUAUUAAUUAUAAUGGCAGACAAAUCAUGUCUAUCAUUUGGAUCUGAAGCCUGUCAAAACAUCAGAGGUUAAUCAGGGUCUUUGUAUUCCUAUGUUUAAAAGCAUGAGACAUAGGGGUGCCUGGUGGCUCAGUCAGUUAAGCAUCUGACUCUGAACUCUUCAGUUCACGUCAUGGUCUCAGGGUCGUGAGAUUGAGGUUCCAUGCCUAGCAUGGAGUCUGCUUGAAAUUCGGUCUACCUCUCCCUCUACCCCUGCCUGUUCCCCAUUCCUACACACAUGCUCUGUCUCUCUGAAAUAAAUAAUUUUUUAAAUUUUAUUUAUUCAUGAGAGAGAGGCAGAGACACAGGCAAAGGGAGAAGUAGGCUCCAUGCAGAAAGCCCAACGUGGAACUUGAUACCAAGUCCCCAGGAUCACACCCUGGGCUGAAGGCGGCACUAAACCGCUGAGCCAUCGGGGCUGCCCAAAAAUAAAUUAAAAAUUUUUAAAAAGCAUGGAACAUAGCUCAAAAAAAUAGUCUGAUUCUCAAGGUCUUACACCAAAGCUACAGAGAAAUAUAAACAUUGGUAAACCAAUUUGAAUAUAAAACAUGUAAAAUUCACUUAUAACCCUUUCCUAUGUAUUUGGCUAUUCUAUGACCUAAAUUUAAAGUCUUGUCUUUGGGGUACCUGGGUGGCUCAGUGAUUGAUCAUCUGCCUUUGACUCGGGUCAUGGUCCUGGGGUCCUGGGAUCGAGUCCCGCAUCGGGCUCCUGACAGGGAGCCUGCUUCUCCCUCUGCCUAUGUCUCUGCCUCUCUGUUUCUCAUGAAUACAUAAAAUCUUCAAAAAAUAAUAAAAUAAAAUCUUGUCUUUAAUUGUAAAAACGCUAAUUUGCCGUGUUUAAUAUUAUUUAUACUAGGUUAGGAAAAGUUUUAUGGAGGGAAAAAAUAUUUUAAAUGAGAUGAAGACUACUUAGUGUACAUGGGAAAGGUUAUUUUGGUUUUUUUGAAGGAGUGGAGAGGGAAAGACAGAAAAAGAAGAGUUUGCCCAUAGACUUGAGAGAGAUAAAGGCAGGAGAGAAAAUAGGUGAUAGAAUUGACAUAUGCAUCUUCAUAGAUUUGUUGAAGUUUUUUUAAAAAAAAAUUGAUACGAUACCUAAGAGAAAAUUAUAUUCAAUGAAUUUGUAUACACAGAGUAGAGAAGAAAGCUGGAAGCCAGUGAGGAAGUGGUACCAGUUGGUAACAACAUAUAUGGGGAACUGAGAUAAUAGGACAUUGAGAAAGGAAUGAAUCUUUAAAGUGCUAAGGAAUUACUGUCAACAGUUACUCCAAGGUCCAAUGACCAGAGUCCAGCACUUCAAGAUAUAGUAACUAUAGUGCUGUCUCAUGAAUUUUGCCAUUUCCUGGGUUCAUGCUACCUUUUUUGGACAACACUAUCUACAAUAUCUUGUUAUCAUUUGUCUCCUACUCCCAUACUGGCUGCAUUAGAAUGUAAACUCCCUGAGGUUAAAAGUUUCUCUCUCUCUUUUUACAACUGUAUCCUCAGUGCCUAGGAUAGUGUAUAAUAAGUGAAUUCCAGAUCUAACCAUCAGUGGUUGAAGUGAGGCUCUCAUUGCAAUAUUUAGAAUCAAUAAAUGAAAAUCAAAUUAUUUAAAAUUUGGUAGGGGCCUCAGGUCAUACAGCUACUGUUUUUUUCCACUGUCUGUGACUACUGUGAGUCUUGCCUCAGGUUUGGGAAUGACAGUUGUGAUUCAGUGCAUUUCUUUUCUCCAUUUCUCUUUUUUGGGGAUCCAAAGUACGUAAUUUAACUACUUUUCCAGGUAGUUCCUGAUCUGGUUCAAAUUUCCCACAGGAAAAUAUGCAGGAAUUCCUUAUAGGGCAUAUGGUUCCAUGAGGGGACCCUUCUAGGAGUAGAGCACACCAUUGCGGUGUGUGUGUGCAUAUGUGCAUGUGUGCACGCAUGCACAUGUGUUUCAUCCAAGAAAUAUUUAUUGAACAACUCUUAUGUGCAAGACUAAGGGUAUAAUGUGAUAAAAGAGAUGCAUUAUUCCCUGUCCCCUCAGGGCUUACAGUCUGGUGGAAUUUUACAAACAACAAAUGAAGUCUCUAAACUCUUUCCCUACUUUGUCUUCUCAAAGUUGUUUCUUUCUAGAAAAGGCAGAAUAGGAAGAAAUUAAGAACCAUGGGAGUUAAACUUUUAAUGAAUGGUAUUAAGGACAAAUACCCAUUUUUGUUUAGUUUCCAGGGCCUUUAAAUUCAAUCCAGUUCAUUCAACAAACACCUGCUGGGGGGGAAAAAAGACCACCUGCUGAGCAUCUCUAGCCCUUGGCUAACUUCUGAAGAAUGAAAACAGAGUAGGAUACAGCCCCUACUCACAAGGGAAAAAAAAAUACAAAUGUAUACUCUUCAGUGUGUUAAGUGCCACAUGUAACUAUCUUUUGAGUGAGUCAUUCCGUUGGACAGUUUUAGCUAAUACAAAAUCAUACUAAAUUAAAAAAAAAUUUAUUUGAGAGGGAGAGAGAGCACAAAGCAGGCAGAGUAGCAGGCAGAGGGAGAAGCAGGCUCUGUGCUGAGCAAAGAGCCCGACAUGGGGCUCGAUCCCAGGACCCAGAGAUCAUGACCUGAGCCAAAGGCAGACCCUUAACAGACUAAGCCACCCAGGUGCCCCAAAAUCUGCCUCUAUUUGAUUUUUAUUUUCUGGUUCCAGUUGUGUCCUCUGUGCUCUUCAUUCAUUUAUUCAACCCAUAAACAUCUGUUAGGGAUCUAUCAUGUGCCAUAUGUCAACAAGUUUUCUUCACAGACAAAUAGUACAGAUCUUGCUCUCAAAAAGAUAAGGAUAUAAUUUUGUGACUGAGGAAGUUGCUUAACCUGUAAGCUCAGUUUCCUCCCCUGGGAAUCACAAAUAGUAUUAGUAACUACUUAGGAUUGUUGUGAGAAUUAAAUGAAUAAUGCAUACAAUGCACUUAAUAGAGGGCCUGGUACAGGGCUUUCAACAAAUGUUGGGUAUUAUUGGUGUGCUUAAAGAAGGAUCCCAAUAAGUAAAUUAGGAGUUGCAGGAUUGAUACAAAUGUCCUAAUAGAAGUAAUAAACCCAGAAUGAUACAGGAAUACAGCAGAGGAACACCUAAUCUUGUCUGGAGAAGCUGGGGAAACAGCCUGCAGGAGGAGAUACCUGAACUGAGUAUUGCAGGACUAAAUAGUGAGCGUAGGAAGAGGAUAGGGAAAGAGGUGAAAGAGAAUGAUACAUUUUGGGCACUUGCUACUUUUAGGAAAGCUACAAUAUGAAUGGCUUUGGAUGCCAUGCUAAUUAAAACUGUGUCAUGAAGAUAAUGGGAACUAUUGAAAUCAUGCUGCACAAUUAAACUUUCUAUAUAAUAUAGAAAUGUUAUAUAGCAUUGUAACAGCAAUGUAAGCAAUGUAAGGGCAGCAAUGUAAGAGAGUAGAAGACUGAUUGAAGAAAAAAUUAGAAUUUGAUGACCAACUAAACGCAAACGUAGGAGGAAAGGAAGAGAAGGUGUCAAAGAUAACUUCUAAAUGACUGAUUUGAAUGAGUGAAAGGCAAUGACAUAGGAAGAGUGGAGGGGGACAGAUAAGUUCAAUUAUAGGCAUGUUGAGUUUGAAGACAGGUAAGCACUUGAAUAUUCCGAUCAGGAGUUUAGAACUGGUCUAAGGCUGCAGAUUUGGGAUUUGUCAAUAGGUAUUAGUUGAAGCCAACAUGUAUAUACUAGAUAGAGGAAGGCCAACAUUUUGGGGUUAUCAAACAGCUCAUAAAAUCGAUUGAAAAUGAAUGUCCAGGCAGGUUAGUGGAAAAUCAAGAUAUGGCACUAUCCCAGAAACUAAGAGAGGAUUGAGUUGAAAAGAAGUUAACAGUCACCAAUGCUAUGAGGAAAAGAAAAAAGUGUUCUUUGAAUUAAGCAACUAGGAAGUUAUUGGGCAAGAGUUAUUUCAGUAGUGAAGGGACCAGAAUGUAAAUUGCCAGAGAUUGUGGCGUUGAUAGGAAGUGAGUGCAGAAGACAUCGCCUGCAGGCCUCCUUUUCAAAAGUUGUGAAGAGCAGAGAGAUAGUGUAGAAACUAGAGGACAAAGAGCAAGUCUGGUUUAUUUAAAGAUCAUGGAGACUUGACCUCCUUUCUGUGUCCAUAGGAAAGAGCCUGGAGAAAGGGAGAGUUGAAGAUACAGAAUAGAGUGUAAAUAAAUAAUAAAAAAUUCUUAAGAAGGCAGAAGAGGUGACAUCCUGUGGAUUAAUGUGUCUUGAACAGGUGAAUGGAUACCUCUGCCACAAACCAGAGCUACGUGAACACAGAACAACAAUUAUUCAAGAACAAGAUGGCACUGAGAGAAUCCUAGAUGAUGGAGGUGAAGUUGAAGCACCCCUCUGUACCUGAAAGACCAAGACAGACUACAUUACAAGAUGGCCACCCAUUUGUCCCAAGAACGUAUGCACUCAUUUAUGAUUUUGGCAUCAGGAUCAUUUCAACGAUGGUGAAUCUUUUAACAUUCCAGGUA